rnacentral:rRNA from 1 species
AGUGAACGCUGGCGGUAGGCCUAACACAUGCAAGUCGAACGGCAGCACAGUAAGAGCUUGCUCUUACGGGUGGCGAGUGGCGGACGGGUGAGGAAUACAUCGGAAUCUACUUUUUCGUGGGGGAUAACGUAGGGAAACUUACGCUAAUACCGCAUACGACCUACGGGUGAAAGCAGGGGAUCUUCGGACCUUGCGCGAUUGAAUGAGCCGAUGUCGGAUUAGCUAGUUGGCGGGGUAAAGGCCCACCAAGGCGACGACCCGUAGCUGGUCUGAGAGGAUGAUCAGCCACACUGGAACUGAGACACGGCCCAGACUCCUACGGGAGGCAGCAGUGGGGAAUAUUGGACAAUGGGCGCAAGCCUGAUCCAGCCAUACCGCGUGGGUGAAGAAGGCCUUCGGGUUGUAAAGCCCUUUUGUUGGGAAAGAAAAGCAGCAGGUUAAUACCCCGCUGUUCUGACGGUACCCAAAGAAUAAGCACCGGCUAACUUCGUG